rnacentral:rRNA from 1 species
UACGUAGGGGGCGAGCGUUGUCCGGAAUCAUUGGGCGUAAAGCGCGGGUAGGCGGCCCGGUAAGUCCGCUGUGAAAGUCCAGGGCUCAACCCUGGGAUGCCGGUGGAUACUGUCGGGCUCGAGUCCGGAAGAGGCGAGUGGAAUUCCUGGUGUAGCGGUGAAAUGCGCAGAUAUCAGGAGGAACACCAAUGGCGAAGGCAGCUCGCUGGGACGUGACUGACGCUGAGACGCGAAAGCGUGGGGAGCAAACAGG